rnacentral:misc_RNA from 1 species
UGCUGCUUGGUCAAGGUCGG